rnacentral:rRNA from 1 species
GAUGAACGCUAGCGAUAGGCUUAACACAUGCAAGUCGAGGGGCAGCAUGGUCUUAGCUUGCUAAGACUGAUGGCGACCGGCGCACGGGUGCGUAACGCGUAUGCAACUUGCCUCACAGAGGGGGAUAACCCGUCGAAAGACGGACUAAUACCGCGUACACUUGGGAUAGGGCAUCCUGACCCAAGGAAAUGAAAUUCGCUGUGAGAUAGGCAUGCGUCCCAUUAGCUAGUUGGUGAGGUAACGGCUCACCAAGGCGACGAUGGGUAGGGGAACUGAGUGGUUGAACCCCCACACUGGUACUGAGACACGGACCAGACUCCUACGGGAGGCAGCAGUGAGGAAUAUUGGUCAAUGGGCGAGAGCCUGAACCAGCCAAGUCGCGUGAAGGAUGACUGUCUUAUGGAUUGUAAACUUCUUUUAUACGGGAAUAACAAGAGUCACGUGUGGCUCCCUGCAUGUACCGUAUGAAUAAGCAUCGGCUAGCUCCGUG